rnacentral:tRNA from 1 species
GCGCGCAUAGCUCAGUUGGUUAGAGCGUCACAUUGACAUUGUGAAGGUCCGUAGUUCGAAUCUACGUGCGCGCACCA